CAGUACAGCAUAUUUUUCUUCUCUGAGGCCAAAAUAGCAGUGAGGUGUUGACAGCACCUCUGUAGCUUUAGGCUUUGAUAAUAGUUUUGGCUAUAGCAAAACCAAAGCGGGUUUAAGCUGGAGAGCUUGAAGAGUAAUGAAGCCAGCUUCUUGCUGACAGAUAUGUUCCUGAGCUUAUAGGAGUCCCUUUUCGGCCUCCUAAGAACAACUGCAUAAAUGGAUCCCACUUGCCACCAGCCUUCUUAGCUUAUGAAUCCCAGGAAAACAAAUAUGCUAGGCAGCAGGAAGCUGAGACCUGACCACAGAGAACCAACAGUCCAGAGAGAUUACCAGCGUGUGAACAGGCAACCCCAGCACAGAAUGAGCAUUGCCAUGGUAAGAAAAACAGAGAACUGUGGGAACACCCAGGACUGCUCUCUAACCCAGAUGUAUAGGUUAAGAAUGAUUUCUGAAAAGAAAUCUUUAUCUAAUUACCAAAUAAUUGAAAUAAAAAGCAUUUCUGUUACAAUGCUGGCCUCCUAAAAGAGAUCACAAGAAACUACCUGAAAAUUUUCGUGCAAUAUCGAAUUAUUUAUUUUGCAUUUCAUAUGUUUAAAUAGAGAGAAUGCUUUCAGUAUAAAUCGUUGAACAGAUCUCUUCUGAAAGUGAUUUACUGACUAUGACUAGCUCUAUGUAAACAACCUAGAUGAAGAAAGUUUUAAUACUUUAACUUAUUCAGGAGAAAAUAACCAAACACCUUCAUUAAAUGCACUUUGAAAAAGGCAGAAUGCUGUUGCUAAUCGUGAUUAAAGUUAUUUAUAAAUGGUCCAAAGGACAAAAAAAAAAAAAAAAAAAAAAAACAGAAAAUAAUGAUCUAAAAGACAUUGUGAUUGCUUCAAUGCAUUAUUCUGUUUUUUUAAGAAGAUAAAUGUUAUAUAAAGGUAAAUCAACAUUGGAGAAAAAAGUUUUAGCCCACUUAACUGUUCUAAUAUUUAAUAUUUAUUAAGCAUUAACACUAUGUAGGAAACAGUUUAAAAUUUCAUAAAUUAAAAUUUAAAAUUUCAAGUUAAUCAUGGUCUCUGUCAAAAGAUAGUCAUUUUAUUCUUAAUUGCAUUUGAGUCCCAGCCAUAACUCUUAUAACACCAUGCAUCUUCUGUUAGAGAUCUAAAUGUUAAUUGUUAUAGAAUUGCUAAAUCCUUCAUAAGCAACCUUAGACAAAGCAAUUGCUAAGUGUUCAUGGCCCCUAAACAUUAAGUAUAGUGAGAGAUAAAACUAUCAGUAUAAAAUUGUUU
rnacentral:lncRNA from 12 species